AAACCUCACCCAGCCUGGACACAGACAGGAUUGACAGAUUGAGAGCUCUUUCUCAAUUCCAUGGGUGGUGGUGCCUGGACAUUCUUGGUGGAGUGAUUUGUCUGGUUAAUUCCAAUAACAACAAGACUCUGGCAUGUUAACUAGUUAUAAGACCCCCCUAGUGGUCGACACCCAACUUUUUCAAGGGACAGGUGGCAUUCAGUAACAUGAGAUAGAGCAACAACAGGUCUGUGAUGCCCUUUACUGUG
rnacentral:ncRNA from 1 species